rnacentral:rRNA from 1 species
AGAGUUUGAUCCUGGUUCAAGGACGAACGCUGGCGGCGCGCCUAACACAUGCAAGUCGAACGGAGCUUAGAGAGCUUGCUUUUUAAGCUUAGUGGCGAACGGGUGAGUAACGCGUGAGUAACCUGCCCUAGAGUGGGGGACCAACAGUUGGAAACGACUGCUAAUACCGCAUAAGCCCACGGUGCCGCAUGACACUGAGGGAAAAGGAUUUAUUCGCUUUAGGAUGGACUCGCGUCCAAUUAGCUAGUUGGUGAGGUAACGGCCCACCAAGGCGACGAUUGGUAGCCGGACUGAGAGGUUGAACGGCCACAUUGGGACUGAGACACGGCCCAGACUCCUACGGGAGGCAGCAGUGGGGGAUAUUGCACAAUGGGGGAAACCCUGAUGCAGCGACGCCGCGUGGAGGAAGAAGGUUUUCGGAUUGUAAACUCCUGUCGUUAGGGACGAUAAUGACGGUACCUAACAAGAAAGCACCGGCUAACUACGUGCAGCAGCCGCGGUAAAACGUAGGGUGCAAGCGUUGUCCGGAAUUACUGGGUGUAAAGGGAGCGCAGGCGGGAAGACAAGUUGGAAGUGAAAACCAUGGGCUCAACCCAUGAAUUGCUUUCAAAACUGUUUUUCUUGAGUAGUGCAGAGGUAGAUGGAAUUCCCGGUGUAGCGGUGGAAUGCGUAGAUAUCGGGAGGAACACCAGUGGCGAAGGCGGUCUACUGGGCACCAACUGACGCUGAGGCUCGAAAGCAUGGGUAGCAAACAGGAUUAGAUACCCUGGUAGUCCAUGCCGUAAACGAUGAUUACU